UUUGCUGCCUCUUCUUCCAUUUCUCUGAAGUCCCCUCUUCUCUUCUCUCUCAACAUUUUUCUGCCUCCGAAGAAAAAUUUCUUACCUCUCCAGAUCCAUCGGAUUUCUUACAAAAACUAACAGAUCUUCAUGAACACUACACCAUGAACCAGGAGGAAAAACCAUUUCCUUCUUCACUCCAGAUCUAUUUAUAUCAUUAUGUUCGAUAUAAAACCAUUUUCUUCAAUCUUAACUCAAAACCAUUCUUCUUAACCAUUUCCUUUUUCAUCUUUGUUGUUUGUGUGGUAUUAAUAGUCCUUCUUAUUGGAACUAAAGUUACGCUUUAAAUGAGUUUUUAGAAGACGAACAAUCAACCUCAGUUGGAUUUCUUGAACUUCUCCAGAUUCACCACCUCGGUGGCGGUACUGAAUGCUACAAAUUCACCACAUGCAGUACCAAUUGCUGCAUACCUCCGCGAUCGUUGACAAGAUCAGUCAAGAGCAGAGAAGCAUGAUGAAUUUGAUUUUAGGGGUUCUCAAGCACAACAACUUCGGGGUAAGCUCGAUUUGUGCUCGUAUGUAUGUAUAAGGACUGUGUUAAUAUAUGAGUAGUAUGGACUGUAAAACACUUAAUAUUAUGCAGAUAACUUAAGACAGUUCUGCACUAUUACGUAAGAUGUAUCUGCACUAUUGGAUAGAUACAGAUCUCUUGCUUUUUUUUUCGUUCUUUCUAUCUUUGUUUCUUUCUUGUGUUCUUUUAAUUUUGUCAUCGACUAUCUUCUCUCUAGGAUAUCACAAAGACAAUAGCGAGCCUUUGGCUAACUGGUAGUGUCUGUACGAUCUAUGAGUGUUUCCAUGAUUGGUUAUUAAACUAUUAUUUUGUUUACUGUAGCUAGUGCUAAAUAAGACCUCUUCCUGGUGCCAACCGAUUAAUUGAACAUUUGAAGGGACAUGGUGUACCUAUGUCAUAAGCUUCGUCUCUAGGGAAAGCAUAGAAAAUAAAUUCACCUAUCCCGAAGGUCAGGUUCCGCUGGAUAUUUAUCCUAUCUCAAACAACCAGAUACUAGAUUAGAGAUUAACUCAAUACAUUCAGAUUAAUUUUACAUAUUUGAUCUUUCAUCUCGUUACGUGUGUGUUUAGGCUGGAAAUAAUCCUGAAUUGUGAGAUGCUUUUGCAUAUCUUACUAUUAUUCUUAACUGCGGAUAAAUUCCAUUUAUGCGUCCAAUCUGCAUUUGCUGCUUGAUUUUCUUCUUAAGAUUCUUUUAGGUGGUGAAGUUGUUGGAUGUCGAUCCUUCCAACGACCUUGUUAUUGAGGGCACAUUGUAAAUGCUUUUUAAUUUUUUUGCACAUGCUUAAAUUUCUAAUGAAAAAAUCAUGUUGAAACCAUUUGCCAGGCGUGUCUUUGGUAUGAAAUUCUUCUUGGUGUUCACUGAGUUUAUAAGAUGGUCAUUAAUAUUGGUUGGAACCCAUAAUGUAACACUAAAAAGACUAGUGAACCUUGGCUACUUCAUGAUUUCAAUGAGGAUUUCUAAGGGGAAGAACCGCGUCUUGUGAUUGUUAGUUAUAUGCGACCAGAGAUGAAUUUAAGUAAAGUAAUAUUCCCAACAAUGAAGCAAAUGCAGUUUCACCACCUGAUCCUGCAGCUGUGAAUGCAGUCAUGUAGAUAGCCUGAAACUGUUGCUUACUUCCGACGAAGCUGACAGAAUUAUUGGUGAUCAUGCUGAAUAGUUUGCUACUUGCAUAGUGUAGAUUGUUGGGAUGCAGUGCCCUAUUUCUUUCUUUGUUGGAGGCUGGUUCCGCAAGAGUUAAAAGCCGAUAUCUGGAAGGGUUUGAGGUAACUCCCUGCUCACUGAUUUGUGAAAUCUAAGGAUAUCCAUCUACUUUUGCUAUGCAUCUAGGUUUUAUCUGCUUGUUGUUAUCAUGUUUUGCAACCUUCGCUGGUUCAUUUUAUUUUCUUCUUGUGAAGAUUCCUCAUGUAAAGAGAUGAAGCUGGAAUAAGCUAAUGAAUGUGAAUGGUAAAAGUCUGUCAUGAAUAUGAAUGGGAAAAUUCUGUAAUGAAUAUUCUGCAGAUUGGGAAAUAAGAAACUGCAGGCCUGUAAACUGAAAGUCCAGGCCCGUGAUAAUGGACCUGGACUAUCCAUUUUUUUUAA